rnacentral:rRNA from 1 species
AUGAAUUGUGGGUUUAUGAUCAAGUCUAUCUAUGAACAAUAUUUGAAUCUUCUCCGAAUUCUUUUAUGUAUGAUUGGUUAUCUUUGCAAGUCUCUUCGAAUUAUCAGUUUGAUUUGGCAUACUAGAUUGAUCUUUCUUGCAAUGGGAGAAGUGCUUAGCUUUGGGUUCAAUCUUGCGGUGUCCUUUCCCAGUGACGGUAGGGGCAGCAAGGCACGUAUUGUAUUGUUGCCAUCGAGGAUAACAAGAUGGAGUUUAUAUCAUAUUGCAUCAGUUUAUCCCUCUACAUCAUGUCAUCUUGCUUAA